rnacentral:rRNA from 1 species
AUGCAAGUCGAGCGGAAACGAUGGAGCUUGCUCCAGGCGUCGAGCGGCGGACGGGUGAGUAAUGCAUAGGAAUCUGCCCGGUAGUGGGGGAUAACCUGGGGAAACCCAGGCUAAUACCGCAUACGUCCUACGGGAGAAAGCAGGGGAUCUUCGGACCUUGCGCUAUCGGAUGAGCCUAUGUCGGAUUAGCUUGUUGGUGAGGUAAUGGCUCACCAAGGCGACGAUCCGUAGCUGGUCUGAGAGGAUGAUCAGCCACAUCGGGACUGAGACACGGCCCGAACUCCUACGGGAGGCAGCAGUGGGGAAUAUUGGACAAUGGGCGAAAGCCUGAUCCAGCCAUGCCGCGUGUGUGAAGAAGGCUUUCGGGUUGUAAAGCACUUUCAGUGAGGAAGAAGGCCUUGGGGCUAAUACCCCCGAGGAAGGACAUCACUCACAGAAGAAGCACCGGCUAACUCCGUGCCAGCAGCCGCGGUAAUACGGAGGGUGCGAGCGUUAAUCGGAAUUACUGGGCGUAAAGCGCGCGUAGGCGGCGUGAUAAGCCGGUUGUGAAAGCCCCGGGCUCAACCUGGGAACGGCAUCCGGAACUGUCAGGCUAGAGUGCAGGAGAGGAAGGUAGAAUUCCCGGUGUAGCGGUGAAAUGCGUAGAGAUCGGGAGGAAUACCAGUGGCGAAGGCGGCCUUCUGGACUGACACUGACGCUGAGGUGCGAAAGCGUGGGUAGCAAACAGGAUUAGAUACCCUGGUAGUCCACGCCGUAAACGAUGUCGACUAGCCGUUGGGGUCCUUGAGACCUUUGUGGCGCAUUUAACGCGAUAAGUCGACCGCCUGGGGAGUACGGCCGCAAGGUUAAAACUCAAAUGAAUUGACGGGGGCCCGCACAAGCGGUGGAGCAUGUGGUUUAAUUCGAUGCAACGCGAAGAACCUUACCUACCCUUGACAUCGUGCGAACUUUCCAGAGAUGGAUUGGUGCCUUCGGGAACGCACAGACAGGUGCUGCAUGGCUGUCGUCAGCUCGUGUUGUGAAAUGUUGGGUUAAGUCCCGUAACGAGCGCAACCCUUGUCCCUAUUUGCCAGCGAUUCGGUCGGGAACUCUAGGGAGACUGCCGGUGACAACCGGAGGAAAGUGGGGACGACGUCAGUCAUCAUGGCCCUUACGG